UAUGCACAGUACUCUGCUGACAUUUCAGAAAAGACCAAACUAUCAGUAUCAAAACAUGGAGCUAAUAUAAACUCCAGUCAAACGUCAUUUCGGUGCUUCGGUGCAAAAUUGGUAAAUGUAAAAAGGCUUCCGGAGUUUUUAGUAACACUCCAUUACUGCCCGCAGCAGUAGCUUUAUCGAUCUGGAAAACCGCAAUGACGCAGUCCUGGCCCUCAAGUAAAAGACGUAUCUGAGAACUGUGCAGUUUGGUUGCCUAAUGCCGGGGAUGGAUGGCCUAAGUAUACCAUUAAAAAGCCAUUACACCUUGAACAUCUGCCAUGAGUCUGCUCAAAACAAUUGGUAAACAUGAGAUGAAAACAACUGGAAUGACUGCUGAUUUCAAUAUUAAUGUCAAUGUUUGGCUCAAAAUUACAUUUCUCUGAUGCCACUAGAGUAAAACAG